GGAAAAUGGGCAUUUUCCAGCAGAUCUCUCAGAGCGGGGAGAAGAGAUUGUCGAUUACUUCCCCGGAGUGUCGAAGAUUUGUCUUGCAGAUUUGCCGUCUUUCUUUUCUGGCGAUGGUCUCCAAAGCGUCGAAUCCGCCGUGAACUCCGCCCGUUCCGUCGACAAAUCCCAAUUUUUCAUCUCCACCUCUGUUUACGAGCUUGAAUCCUCUGUUAUCGACGCCUUAAAAGCAAAAUUUCCCUUCCCGAUUUACACCAUCGGACCCAGUACUCCAUAUUUCGAGCUAGAAUGCUCCGCCCCAAAUGGCGGCACCGACGACUAUUUCCGGUGGCUGGACUCCCAA
rnacentral:misc_RNA from 1 species